rnacentral:rRNA from 1 species
ACUCGAGUGGCGAACGGGUGAGUAACACGUGGGUGAUCUGCCCUGCACUUCGGGAUAAGCCUGGGAAACUGGGUCUAAUACCGGAUAGGAGCCAUUUUUAGUGUGAUGGUUGGAAAGUUUUUUCGGUGUAGGAUGAGCUCGCGGCCUAUCAGCUUGUUGGUGGGGUAAUGGCCUACCAAGGCGGCGACGGGUAGCCGGCCUGAGAGGGUGGACGGCCACAUUGGGACUGAGAUACGGCCCAGACUCCUACGGGAGGCAGCAGUGGGGAAUAUUGCACAAUGGGCGCAAGCCUGAUGCAGCGACGCCGCGUGGGGGAUGACGGCCUUCGGGUUGUAAACUCCUUUCGCUAGGGACGAAGCUUUUUGUGACGGUACCUAGAUAAGAAGCACCGGCUAACUACGUGCCAGCAGCCGCGGUAAUACGUAGGGUGCGAGCGUUGUCCGGAAUUACUGGGCGUAAAGGGCUCGUAGGUGGUUUGUCGCGUCGUCUGUGAAAUUCCGGGCUUAACUCCGGGCGUGCAGGCGAUACGGGCAUAACUUGAGUACUGUAGGGGUAACUGGAAUUCCUGGUGUAGCGGUGAAAUGCGCAGAUAUCAGGAGGAACACCGAUGGCGAAGGCAGGUUACUGGGCAGUUACUGACGCUGAGGAGCGAAAGCAUGGGUAGCGAACAGGA